rnacentral:tRNA from 1 species
GCUCCCUGUUAAGGAGUUGAUUGUAGGUUCGAAUCCUACCCGGGGAG